AUUGAACGCUGGCGGCAUGCCUUACACAUGCAAGUCGAACGGCAGCACGGGGGCAACCCUGGUGGCGAGUGGCGAACGGGUGAGUACUGCAUCGGAAUGUACCCAGUAGUGGGGGAUAACUAGUCGAAAGACUAGCUAAUACCGCAUACGCACUGAGGUGGAAAGCGGGGGAUCGCAAGACCUCGCGCUAUUGGAGCAGCCGAUGCCCGAUUAGGUAGUUGGUGGGGUAAAAGCCUACCAAGCCGACGAUCGGUAACUGGUCUGAGAGGACGACCAGUCACACUGGGACUGAGACACGGCCCAGACUCCUACGGGAGGCAGCAGUGGGGAAUUUUGGACAAUGGGGGAAACCCUGAUCCAGCAAUGCCGCGUGUGUGAAGAAGGCCUUCGGUUGUAAGCACUUUGUCGGGACGAACGGACGCUGGUUAUACCUGGCGCUAAUGACGGUACCGCAGAAUAAGCACGGCUACUACGUGCCAGCAGCCGCGGUAACGACACGAGU
rnacentral:rRNA from 1 species